AAAAUAUUUCAAAUAUUUCAAAUGAUUCAAACCAAAUUUUUCUAUCAUCAAUACUAUUAAUUUUUGGUUUGAUAACUUCAAUAAUUAAAAACUAACCUGGUAAGAUAUGUCGAAAGAUAAUGAGUCUUAUAACAACAUUUCAUGUCAAUGUUACAUGUUACUAAUCGUGAUAGGAAUUUACAUAAUAAUGACAGAUCACAUCGUAUGAAGAUAGAACAAUGAUAUAAUGUAGUGCUACGCUUGGUUGCAUCAAUUUCGAAAAAAAAAAAAAUAAAUUCAAACAAAUGUUGUCGAUGAAAACACGUGUGUUUCCAUAAAAUGUACUUUAAAAUAAAACAGAAAUAAAGAAACUCAAUAUUCUUGAACCCUCUGAA